rnacentral:rRNA from 1 species
GACGUAGGGAGCGAGCGUUGUCCGGAUUCAUUGGGCGUAAAGCGCGCGUGGGCGGUUUGGUAAGUCGGAUGUGAAAUCCCGAGGCUCAACCUCGGGACUGCAUCCGAUACUGCCCGACUAGAGGUAGGUAGGGGAGAUCGGAAUUCCUGGUGUAGCGGUGAAAUGCGCAGAUAUUGGGAAGAACACCAGUGGCGAAGGCGGCUAACUGGUCCAGAUCUGACGCUGAGGUGCGAAAGCGUGGGGAGCAAACAGG